AGUAAAAUCAGCUAAAAAAGCUCUUGGGUCCAUACCCCAAAAAUGUGGGCUAACAAUCCCUCUUUUACUA